rnacentral:lncRNA from 1 species
UUACCUUGAUCACAGCAAAAUAGAGAUCAAAUCUCCAGAGGUUGCUUGAAUCCGAUGCCUUGCGAGGCCUGAAAGCACAGGCUCUCUACUUUGCGCACACGCUAGGCUCCGUAAGAAAAAAGGAUGAUCUUCUUUUUGCCAAUCUUUAGGAGGGAAUAUAGGGAGGGAGGAGAUCUGAUUUCCUCUCCUUAGGGAUACCUGGAAAGGAGUCCUCACACCCAAAAGAGAAUCACCCAAGAUAUCUCACGAUAAGAAAGAAAGAACACCUUCUAUCUAUUUUUGGACUUAUCCUAACA